rnacentral:rRNA from 1 species
GACGAACGCUGGCGGCGUGCUUAACACAUGCAAGUCGAACGAUGAACUUGGAGCUUGCUCUGGGGGAUUAGUGGCGAACGGGUGAGUAACACGUGAGUAACCUGCCCUGGACUCUGGGAUAACUUCGAGAAAUCGGAGCUAAUACCGGAUAGGACCUUGCACCGCAUGGUGUGGGGUGGAAAGUUUUUCGGUUUGGGAUGGACUCACGGCCUAUCAGCUUGUUGGUGAGGUAAUGGCUCACCAAGGCGUCGACGGGUAGCCGGCCUGAGAGGGUGACCGGCCACACUGGGACUGAGACACGGCCCAGACUCCUACGGGAGGCAGCAGUGGGGAAUAUUGCACAAUGGGCGCAAGCCUGAUGCAGCAGCGCCGCGUGCGGGAUGACGGCCUUCGGGUUGUAAACCGCUUUUAGUAGGGAAGAAGCCUUCGGGUGACGGUACCUGCAGAAAAAGGACCGGCUAACUACGUGCCAGCAGCCGCCGUAAGAC